UACGUAGGGUGCGAGCGUUAAUCGGAAUUACUGGGCGUAAAUCGUGCGCAGGCGGCGCGUUAAGACAGGUGUGAAAGCCCCGAGCUUAACUUGGGAAUUGCGCUUGUGACUGGCGAGCUGGAGUGUGGCAGAGGGAGGUGGAAUUCCACGUGUAGCAGUGAAAUGCGUAGAGAUGUGGAGGAACACCGAUGGCGAAGGCAGCCUCCUGGGCCAGCACUGACGCUCAUGCACGAAAGCGUGGGGAGCAAACAGG
rnacentral:rRNA from 1 species